AUGGCUGACAGAAAUGUCACUGUGAUAACUGAAUUCAUCCUCCUGGGGUUGACUGAUAACCCUGAAAUGAAUGUUGUCCUUUCUGUGCUCUUUCUAUUAAUCUAUCUCAUUACUGUCUUGGGCAACUUUUGGAUUAUCAUAAUAAUUCUGGCUAGUGCCCAACUCCAUUCACCCAUGUACUUUUUCCUUAGCCAGUUGGCUUUCUUAGAUUUCUGCUAUUCUUCAGUCUUGAUUCCUAAAAUGUUGGUGAAUUACAUAGCAGGACAGAAAGUCAUCUCUUAUCACGGUUGCCUCCUUCAGUAUUCCUUUGUCAGCUUGUUCCUGACUACUGAAUGCUUCCUCCUGGCUGCCAUGGCAUGUGAUCGGUAUCUCGCUGUUUGCCACCCACUUCACUACAAAGGUCUCAUGACUCCUACUUUCUGAAUCUAUUUGGUGACUGUUUCUUACCUGCUGGGCUCUGUAAACUCCCUCACCCACCUGAGUAGCUUACUCAGUUUGUCUUUCUGUGGGUCCAAUGUUAUCAACCGUUAUUUCUGUGACAUUCCAUUGCUCUUCCAACUCUCCUGUUCCAACACCCAACACAGUAAGAUUUUAUUUACUGUCCUUUCUGGAGCAACAUCAGUGACUACCUUUUUGAUAGUGGUUAGUUCCUAUCUGGUAAUCCUACUCAUUGUCCUGAAGAUACAUUCCACCAGGGGCAGAAAUAAAGCCAUAUCCACAUGUGCCUCCCACCUAAUGGUAGUGACUCUCUUCUACAGAACAGUGAUAUUUACUUAUCUGGGAGCCAACCCUGGAUACUCACAGGAUAGACCCAAAAUUCUGCCUGUGGAGUGCACACUUUUGUUGUCAAUACUAAAUCUUCUAAUAUAUAGCGUGAGAAACAGAGAAGUCAAAGAAGCCAUAAAAAUAAUUAUUAAGAGAAAAAUACUUCCUCAGUGA
rnacentral:lncRNA from 1 species